rnacentral:lncRNA from 1 species
UUUAAGAAAGAAGAGUAGCAACACUAUUUAUAGGAGAAAUUGAACUUGCAAGAAACAAAGGCAAAGGCAAAUUGCCAACUUGAAAGAGAUCUCCGCCACUUAUCCAAACUUGGUGGCGAAGAAUAAUUCUCUACCAAGCACAUCUUUCUUAUAGGCACUGCCUAUUUGCCAACUAAGAAUGGGUUGGAUUUUACAAUAAACAAAAAAAUUACCCUUUUCUUGUAAAGCCAAUUAGGCCAUAAUAUAAAUCUCCAGCUUGGCCUAACUUUGGCUAAUAUAGUAAAUUUGCUCCACCUUAUCCACAAAAGCCCGAAUGGCCAAAAUCAUUCUUCAUAAAUGACAAUCAAGUUCACACAAAGCUUGAACUUGACAACUGGAAGAGGCUUCAAGAACAUGUCAGCAGGAUUGUCUUUAGUGUUGAUCUUCU